AGGAUAAACGCUGGCGGCGUGCCUAACACAUGCAAGUCGAACGCGCUUUCGGGCUUCGGUGCGAGAGCGAGUGGCGGACGGGUGAGUAACACAUGGGUACCUGCCUUUCAGUGAGGGAUACCGGCGAGAAAUCGCCGACAAUACCGCAUGGGCUUGUGGGAACACAAGCAAAGUGGCGCAAGCCACGCUGGAAGAUGGGCCUGUGGCCGAUUAGCUAGUUGGGGGGUAACGGCUCCCAAGGCGACGAUCGGUAGCUGGUCUGAGAGGACGAUCAGCCACACUGGGAUUGAGAACGGCCCAGACUCCUACGGGGGGCAGCAGUGAGGAAUUUUCCGCAAUGGACGAAAGUCUGACGGAGCAACGCCGCGUGCAGGAGGAAGGUUUUCGGAUCGUAAACUGCUUUUCUCGGGGACGAGAACGGACGGUACCCGAGGAAUCAGCCCCGGCUAACUACGUGCCAGCAGCCGC
rnacentral:rRNA from 1 species